AAGGAUAUAAAAAUGCUCGUAUUUCUUGUGUUAAUCAUCAUUUCCCUCAUAGCAAUAACAGAAGCAACAUGAGGAUUACAUAUUUUAUUGUAUUUGUACUAGCCUUUGUGGCAACUGGAAUAUACCAAGUAGAAGCAGGAAGGUCAUCUAAACCAGUCACCCAAGCACCAGGAAGAAAACAGGGCCAUAAAUAGCCUUAUUUUAAUAUGUAUAAUUAAUUUAUAUUAAUGCAUUUUAAUGUUUUAUUGUACAAAUACAAUAAAAAUGUUAUUUGACUGAAAAA
rnacentral:lncRNA from 1 species